AGGGAACAGACUAGUAGUGUUGGAAGGUGGGUGAGAUUGUUCUCAUCUGAUAGGGAACAGACUAGUAGUGUGGGAAGGAAGGUGGGUGAGAUUGUUCUCAUCUGAUAGGGAACAGACUAGUAGUGUUGGAAGGAAGGUGGGUGAGAUUGUUCUCAUCUGAUAGGGAACAGACUAGUAGUGUUGGAAGGAAGGUGGGUGAGAUUGUUCUCAUCUGAUAGGGAACAGACUAGUAGUGUGGGAAGGUGGGUGAGAUUGUUCUCAUCUGAUAGGGAACAGACUAGUAGUGUUGGAAGGUGGGUGAGAUUGUUCUCAUCUGAUAGGGAACAGACUAGUAGUGUUGGAAGGUGGGUGAGAUUGUUCUCAUCUGAUAGGGAACAGACUAGUAGUGUUGGAAGGUGGGUGAGAUUGUUCUCAUCUGAUAGGGAACAGACUAGUAGUGUUGGAAGGUGGGUGAGAUUGUUCUCAUCUGAUAGGGAACAGACUAGUAGUGUUGGAAGGUGGGUGAGAUUGUUCUCAUCUGAUAGGGAACAGACUAGUAGUGUGGGAAGGUGGGUGAGAUUGUUCUCAUCUGAUAGGGAACAGACUAGUAGUGUUGGAAGGAAGGUGGGUGAGAUUGUUCUCAUCUGAUAGGGAACAGACUAGUAGUGUUGGAAGGUGGGUGAGAUUGUUGGCUUCU
rnacentral:lncRNA from 1 species